CACGGUUGCCACGGGAGUCCGGUGAGCCGGGCUGAGAGGCGGGUCACCCCGCGACCGUUCGCACCUGACCGGAUCAUGCCGGCGAAGGGAGGGCUUUCCCCUCCUCGU
rnacentral:ncRNA from 1 species